AUUUCCGUGAUCAAGCCGAGAUAACUGACUUGAGAGCUGGUCUGAGCUUUUAGAUAUCAUCCUGAAGAAGGAGGAUUUCGGGAUAGAACAAUCUGCAAACCAAGUGGCAUCACCACCCCCAUUUUUUCACGGUCGCCUCCAAGUAGGGUUUCGAAUCCACCUGUGGAAAGAUGCUCUAUUCAAUGACGGAAGACAUGUAUCCCUGGAAAUCCCAUCUCUGUCUUCAUCAUCAUCAUGUAAAGGACGGUGUACUAGGUUGAAGUUUGGCUAUAAACCGGCCACCAUUAGAGUAGAAGGAUUCGAUUGCCUAAACAGAAGUCGUCAGAAUUCCAGCAUCCCUGCUAUGGCCUAAAAGUAGAUCAAGUGUACAUACAAAUGCCCCAAUUCCAGAAAACAAAGCGACCUAAAAGCUGAUAAUUUUAGAGAAAAGUAGAGAUAAUUUCAGUUGAGUAGUGUUUAUGAUGUUUUUGAUUGCUAAUAGCCACAGUAAGUAGUUUGAUAAUUGAUUGAAGGGAAGAUAAGGCGGGAAGCAAAGCUGUGAAGAAAGGUCUGAAUUAUGUUAUUUUUGUAAUAUAUAAGAUGAGGGCUACAAUUGGUAGAAGAAUGAUUGAUUGAUAUUUGUUAUGGAAAUGGAGAUCACCACCAUUGGAAAUCUGUAUCCGUUGAAUUUUGUUUAGC